rnacentral:lncRNA from 1 species
UGGUCUAGCAGAGAUUUUUCCUGUUCAGAGAUUCCUAUUUCCUGUAGAGUGAAAAGGACCUAUUUAAAAACAGUUUCAGACUCUUACUGUUUGGACCACUGACUUCCACGUGGGCUCUUAGCAGGCAGGGGCAUCUGCUCAUUCAGCUUGGCAUCCCCAGCACAUGUCUCUCACUGCCUAGCUGGCAUCAAAAUGCUUACUGAAUUUGUCUAGAAACUUUAAUGUAGUCAGUGAUGAUAGCAUCAGUAUGGAUGAUCAGCUUCUGCAUUUCAACAGAAAUGCAGAAAUUAAUUUCAAUGAAAUUAAUAGUUUGGUAUUCAUUUUCUUAUUCUCUCUUCAGCCCAGAAUUCCACUGAGGAAGCUGUUGUGGCAGGGAGAUAGCCUGCAACUCAGGUGCCCAGGCUGAAAGGAUCUGAUACCGGAUGGAAACUUGGCUAUGUGGGAAGGAAAAAAGAACACCGGAAGUGGCAAAUAAUUAGAUAAAUAUAUGACAGUUUUUUCCUCAUAUUGUUCUGAAAAGACAUCUGACUUUUUUAAGGAAAAAUUAUAAUGCUGUAAUGUGAUGCUCACAAUAUAUUUAUAAAUAAAAUAUAUAACAAAAAUAGUACAAAUGAUGUGGGGUUGGGUAAGUAUAAUUACAUUACUUUGCAGUGUGAAAUGGGAAUUGAGAAGAAGAAAAUGAAAACUAUCAGGUUCAAAGUCUGAAGAGGUACAAUAUCUAUUUCUAAAUAACAUUGGUGUACCAAGUUUGUGUAUUUUUAAC